rnacentral:rRNA from 1 species
UACGUAGGGUGCAAGCGUUGUCCGGAAUUAUUGGGCGUAAAGAGCUCGUAGGCGGUUUGUCGCGUCGGCUGUGAAAACCCGAGGCUCAACCUCGGGCCUGCAGUCGAUACGGGCAAACUAGAGUGUGGUAGGGGAGACUGGAAUUCCUGGUGUAGUGGUGAAAUGCGCAGAUAUCAGGAGGAACACCGGCGGCGAAAGCGACUCUCUGGACGGCAACUGACGCUGAGGAGCGAAAGCGUGGGGAGCGAACAGG